GGCUCAGUGGUAGAGCGCAUGCUUCGCAAGCACAAGGUCCUGGGUUCGAUCCCCAG
rnacentral:tRNA from 1 species